AACGAACGCUGGCGGCAGGCCUAACACAUGCAAGUCGAGCGGACCUUUCGGGGUCAGCGGCGGACGGGUGAGUAACGCGUGGGAAUAUGCCCUUCUCUACGGAAUAGUCCUGGGAAACUGGGGGUAAUACCGUAUACGCCCUUUGGGGGAAAGAUUUAUCGGGGAAGGAUUAGCCCGCGUUGGAUUAGGUAGUUGGUGGGGUAAUGGCCUACCAAGCCGACGAUCCAUAGCUGGUUUGAGAGGAUGAUCAGCCACACUGGGACUGAGACACGGCCCAGACACGUGCGCGAGCGUGAGGUAGGGAAUUGUAGACUAGGGGGCCACCCGUUUUCGCGCGAUGCGGGUUGAGUGAGUGUGGCGUGGGGGUUUUAAACCUCUUUCAGCGGGGAAUAAAGACACGGUACACGCAGAAGACGCCACGUCUAACCCCGCGCGGGCGGCGUUAAUAAGCACCCGUUUGACC
rnacentral:rRNA from 1 species